CAAACUCUUUGUUACAGCACCUUGUUUUUCUGUUUGUUUUUUUAAAUAUGAAGACAACCAUUGUUGUUUUGACUGACUCAUUGCAUGUUACAGCAACCUAAAUAAAUUGUGUUCAUCUGUUUGUUACAUGUCAAUAUGGUUGGAGAAGGGAACAUGGGAAAAAAACAUUUGUAGAUUACAGUUGAAUUUUUUAAACAGAAGAAUCUCUGCUUCUGUUUCUAAUGUCAAAUGUUCCUGUGACCCUGUCCGGUGUAGAUUCUAACCAAGAAAUUUCUUGUUGUGAGGCAACAGGGCAAAUCAUAUGGAGCCAGAUCAGGCUCAAAAGUAUUGAAAAGUAGUGUAAGUGAAAAAAUAAAAAGUGAAGUGGAAAAAUAAGAUUUGAACCUGAAAAAAAUAAAAUGGAGCCUGAAAGUCUUGAAUUUCGAAAUUGAACUUUGAAAAAUCCCACAAUGCAUGAAAAAAAAUCUGUUCAAAUGUAACUUUGAUUCUGUUUUUAAUACUUUUGAAUAAAUUACUUAUUUCUAUUUUUCACUUCAAUGUAUAUUUCGAUCUUGGAGUACUUUUUUUUUUUCGAUUGAAUUUUAUGUAUCCAUUUCAGAUUCAGAUUUUUUCGGUUUCAGAUUUUUAUUUUUCAGAUUCAGAUCUUUUUUCGGAUUCAACUUGAAAAGUUUCAGGUACACUUUUGACCCUGUUUUUCCGUGGGGGCGGGCCUCGACUGAGAGGGGCGCGGUCUGCCAUGAGUGACAGGCCUCCCCCUCCUUCCCCACCCCAUCACCCUGCGUUCAGGAAGUGGCAUGAAUACACAUUAGCUUAGCCUACAAUUAGGCUGUAUUGGCUGAAUGAGAUCGUGUUGGUUCGUUCCACUUUAGUGGUGCAAUGUAAACUGUGAUUCAUAAAAAAGCUCUAUUGAUAGUUAAUACUAAAAAAAACAUCUACUCAUGUCAUCCAGUCGAUUUUUAGUAAUCAGUGUUUCGGUGUUGAACUAUUUCCUUUCUGCGGUGUAUAGGCUGUAUUGAGACAGAGGAAAAAGUGCUUAGAAAGUGAAUCUCGUUCCACUUCAGUGGGGCAACAUAAACUGUGAUUCAUAAAAUAGCUCUAUUGAUAGUAAGUACUUAAAAAAAAAUCUACUCAUGCCAUCCUGUCGAUUUUUAGUAAUCAGUGUUUCGGUGUCGAACUAUUUCCCUUCUGCGGCGUAGUGAUACUUGCACACGUGCAAUCGAAUAUGCAAGGGGUGAAGCGAUUUUUGUCACGUGGACCAAUAGGGACCGAGUCUCGUUGCCAUAGUAUCAGAAAUACACAAACAUGGCGACGACCGCAUCUCGCAACGAGACAAGCGGAGAGGAACAAAAGAAAACGGCCUUCAAAAGUGCAUAAAAAAAGAACGAAACGAUGAUAUAUGCAUCUAUCAUCUGCUAUCUGUCGAGAGUGAAGACGUUCUCGACUUUACAAGGACACGUUGGGAAACUUACAGAACUAGUAUUGGAAAGUGGCUUUCUCUACAGGGUGAGACAAAGGACCUUGCAGAAACUUAUAAACUAUUUGAACGAAAUUCACUUUCCAGGCACUUUUCCACUUUUACUAUAUAAAUAAAGUUAUCAUUAAAAUGAUCACCUGCAGCACCAGCUAUAUAACAUGCCCUGCAGACCCUGAGAUGACACUGGGCAUCAGGCUUCCUGUUCUGGUGAUGAUCGUUAAGAACCUCCAGAAGUAUUUCACCUUCGAAGUCCAGGUUAUCCCAGAACACGUCUCCUCACUGGGGACAUAAACAUAAAGUAAAUCUUGAGUUUCUUGUACCAGUUGAAUGUUUUUUCAUGCUUUCUCUACAUUUUUGUAACUUUCAGGUGCUAGAUGAUCAAAAUGUUCGCAGACGGUUUCGGGUUAGCAACUACCGAAGCACGACAAAAGUGAAGCCGUUUUUCUGCACAAUGCCCAUGAGGUUGGAGGAUGGCUGGAACCAAUUCCAGUUCAACAGACUUCACAAGGAGAGCCUAUGGGACUAAUUAUGUGGAGACACUGCGUGUGCAGGUUAGAAAACUCAGACAGCCCAAAAACAGUCCUUAAAAGGCGCCUACACUCAGUUUUCUGAAUAAUCUCUGUAGCAGUGGCUAACUUUCUGUUUUCCCUUCUAGAUCCACGCUAACAUCCGAAUACGGAGAGUGUAUUUUUCUGACAGACAGUAUUCUGAGGAUGAGCUCCCAGCAGAGUUUAAACUCUCUCAUCCUCAUCCCAAGUUUUAGUUCUGAUUGUUAUGUUGUUGUUAUGUUAUGUUGUUGUAUUGUAAAUCUGAAGUUUUAGUUCUGAUUGAUAUGUUAUUGUUAUUGUUAUGUUAUGUUGUUGUAUUGUAAAUCUGAAGCUUUAGUUCUGAUUGUUGUGUUAUUGU
rnacentral:lncRNA from 1 species